GCUGGUAAUUUUAGAGAGUGGGCUACACCUGUUCCCAUUUCGAACACAGAAGUUAAGCCAUUCUUCGCCGAUGAUACUCUGAGCAGAGCUCGCGGGAAAGUAGGACGUUGCCAGCA
rnacentral:rRNA from 1 species